rnacentral:rRNA from 1 species
AUUGAACGCUGGCGGCAGGCCUAACACAUGCAAGUCGAACGAGUGGCGGACGGGUGAGUAAUGUCUGGGAAACUGCCCGUUGGAGGGGGAUAACUACUGGAAACGGUAGCUAAUACCGCAUACCAUCGGAUGUGCCCAGAUGGGAUAGCUAGUAGGUGGGGUAACGGUUGACCUAGGCGACGAGCCCUAGCUGGUCUGAGAGGAUGACCAGCCAAACGGGAGCGGUGGCACGGUCCAAAAUCCUACGGGAGUCAGCAGGGGGGAAUAUUGCACCAUGGGCGCAAGCAUGAUUGAGCCAUGCCGCGUGUAUGCAGAAGGCCUUCGGGUUGUAAAGUACUUACAGGGAGGAGGCGUUACUCGCAGAAGAAGCGCCGGCUAACUCCGUGCCAGCCGCCGCGGUAAUUC